rnacentral:rRNA from 1 species
AAAGAAAAUUCGAUUCCCUUAGUAGCGGCGAGCGAAACGGGAAGAGCCCAAACCAACAAGCUUGCUUGUUGGGGUUGUAGGACACUCUAUACGGAGUUACAAAGGACGACAUUAGACGAAUCAUCUGGAAAGAUGAAUCAAAGAAGGUAAUAAUCCUGUAGUCGAAAAUGUUGUCUCUCUUGAGUGGAUCCUGAGUACGACGGAACACGUGAAAUUCCGUCGGAAUCUGGGAGGACCAUCUCCUAAGGCUAAAUACUCUCUAGUGACCGAUAGUGAACCAGUACCGUGAGGGAAAGGUGAAAAGCACCCCGGAAGGGGAGUGAAAUAGAACCUGAAACCGUGUGCUUACAAGUAGUCAGAGCCCGUUAAUGGGUGAUGGCGUGCCUUUUGUAGAAUGAACCGGCGAGUUACGAUUUGAUGCAAGGUUAAGCAGUAAAUGUGGAGCCGUAGCGAAAGCGAGUCUGAAUAGGGCGUUUAGUAUUUGGUCGUAGACCCGAAACCAGGUGAUCUACCCUUGGUCAGGUUGAAGUU